rnacentral:rRNA from 1 species
AGUCUAUGCCAUACCACCCUGGAUGCACCCGAUCACACCUGGUCUCAGAAGCUAAGCAGGGUUGGGCCUGGUUAGUGUUUGGAUGGGAGAAAGAUCUUCAGAGGAGACUG